GACGAACGCUGGCGGCGUGCUUAACACAUGCAAGUCGAACGGAAAGGCCCCUUUGGGGGUCCUCGAGUGGCGAACGGGUGAGUAACACGUGAGUAACCUGCCCUUGACUUCGGGAUAACUUCAGGAAACUGGGGCUAAUACCGGAUAGGAAUCCUUGCUGCAUGGUGGGGGUUGGAAAGCUUCGGCGGUUUUGGAUGGACUCGCGGCUUAUCAGCUUGUUGGUGGGGUAGUGGCUUACCAAGGCUUUGACGGGUAGCCGGCCUGAGAGGGCGACCGGCCACAUUGGGACUGAGAUACGGCCCAUACUCCUACGGGAGGCAGCAGUGGGGAAUAUUGCACAAUGGGCGGAAGCCUGAUGCAGCAACGCCGCGUGCAGGAUGACGGCCUUCGGGUUGUAAACCGCUUUCAGCAGGGGCGAAGCUUGUGGUGACGGUACCUGCAGAAGAAGCACCGGCUAACUACGUG
rnacentral:rRNA from 1 species